rnacentral:lncRNA from 13 species
GCCAGCGUCUCUGCUUCUACCCUUGCUUUGCUGUAAGCUCUCAAGCAGUGGUGUGGUUGGCAGAACACAGCUUCAGUCGAUCAUUUCCAGCCGCAUUCAUUUGUCAUCUUAUAAUGCAUCUCUAGCAGAGUCAGUAUCACAUCAGGAACUGUUAUAUGAAAUUUAAGUUUAGUUCCACUUUGCAGACACCAUGGCCUUGCUCUAGAGCUACAGCAGGCUACAUUAUAAUUUUCCAUUAAGCAUUAGAUAAAACUUCCAUAAUGUCUUUUUCUAUCACAGAUGUACCUAAGACCAAAAUAUCUGUCAGGUUAAAUUACCCAAGCUUAGUGUCACUUAUACCAAAGUCUGGAAACCUGGAUUGCUAAAAAGCCUUUUCCUGCACCGUAUGCUACUAAAACGUUACAGUUACUAAUGUCAUUCUGUAUAAUAGCCAGAGAAAUCUUCCCGAAUGUGGCCUAGAAGCGACGGUGCUUCCUUCUUUGAGAUGAAAGCGACAGGAUGCACUAAUUGUUUCUUGUUUUGGAAGGUGUUUUCUGGAAUGCCAUAAACCACUGGUUCUCUAAAAAUUGUAUUAAUAUGGGAGUAUCUUAACGCUUUACAGAAUUCACGUCUCACUCUCUAAAGUGCGUGUGUCUUCCCAAGGCCUCCAACCCACUUGCCACUUGCUUCGUACUGGGUUUGAUUAGUACAAUGUUAUCAGUGUAGUGGACCCAUGGGACAUUCUGCUGGAUGUCUAUCAGUCUGGAUUUCAUCAGAAGAUGUCCCACUGAACAUCUGCAGAAUACAGUUGUAAAUGUCUUCCGACUCCUUCUCCUACAUAUUUUAUAGGUGCUAUCGUUCUUUCAUGGUAAUUUAUUUUUCCUUUCUUAGGAAGUUCGGGACAUCCUUGACCUUGCUAUGUGGUGAUUCAUCUAGUUGUUGCCAUAGUGGGUAGGAAGGAAAGCAGGGAAAUUUCUGAGGCGACAAGAGUUGUCCUAUGGGGGUUGUAAAAAGACUGCAAAAAAACGAUGAAGCAUUCAGCUCUAUUCCAGCACUCACAGAGGUUUUAGAAGAAUUUGGUAAAAGAAGAUUCUCAACUGUGCUAAUCCCAGAUGUCCUCAUCCUAUGUUUUACAUUUACACGGACACCCUGUACUGUAAAUCUACCAGCGCAUUAUUGCCAGGAGAGCAGAGACUGAGCUCCAUUUAAACCAUGAUAGCGUCUACUUUCUGUUCAAUUUCUCUUCAAAACUUACGUUUCAUUUGAAAUUGCCUGUGUGCAUCAUUAAAGAAACACAUUUAUAUUUAUUCCUUAAGAACAACUUGCAGAAGACAAAGAGCUACCUUGGAUCUGGGAUAUUUCCACAUUCAAGAAGAAAUGAUUCUGUUGCAACGACUUCUAUAAACUGUUCAGACUACUGAAGCUUAGAAAACAUGUUAAAAUGGAAAAGUGCUUAUAAGUAAAAUGGAGAAUCAUAAUUUCAACUGCCUUCACCCUCUAGUAAGCCAUAAGAGACUUGUUUGCCAAAUGCAUCUGUGCGAAGAGAAUCUCUGUCAUAAUGAAUUUUGCUCGCAUAUCUUAAGCACGUGUGAAGCAGUGAUCCUAAGGUGCUCUUCUGAGAAAUAUAGAAAGCUGUAUUAGUAUCACCAUGAAAUUGGUAAGAAUCAAUGGUUCCAAUAUUUGCGGAAAAGACAAUUUCAUUAUCAGAAAUACUUAGACACCAACCUCUUCUAUGAAUGCUGUAACAAAUUUUAUACAUAUUUUUGUAACCAACAUUUAAACACAAGCUCACGUUAAAUUUUUUUUUUUUUUUGAGAUGGAGUCUCACUCUGUCACUGAGGCUGGAGUGCAGUGGCGUGAUCUUGGCUAACUGCAAUCUUGGCCUCCUGGGUUCAGGCAACUCUUCUGCCUCAGCCUGGAGAGUAGCUGGGACUACAGGUAUGUGCCACCAUGCCCAGCUAAUUGUUUCGUGUUUUUAGUAGAGAUGGGGUUUCACCAUCUUGGCCAGGCUGGUCUUGAACUCCUGACCUUGUGAUCCACCCACCUUGGCCUCCCAAAGUGCUGGGAUUACAGGCAUGAGCCACUGCAUCCAGCCGACCCCUCUUUUUGAAACAAUAAUAUUAAAAUCGGGAAACACUACACAUUGUAAUGAAAGCAAAAAACGUUCUGUUUCAUUGUCACUAAAUAUGCUUGCCUUU